UAAAAUGCGUCUGACUCCUGUAGUAUGAAAGACGAAAAUCGUCAUAGGGAGAUUGGUUGGGGUGGUAGAUGGGUAAAACACAAGACUUUCACCCAGGAGACCAGGGAUCGUGUCCCACGUGUCACGUUUCCUUCUUUUUUUCCUAAAGCCAACCCCGUUAUUCUUUUCCUAAACCCAACCGUGUGUCACGUGUCCUAAACUCAACUGUUGCUUUCUUCUCGUUAAAACACGGCAAGUGGCGUGUAUGUUUACGUCCCCUGUAUACAGCGUAGACAUACAAGUCGAUAGCUCAAAAUGUGUACAGAUAACACGCCACUCUGCUUAAGAAAGUCGCCGUGUAUGUUUACG